rnacentral:rRNA from 1 species
UACGUAGGGGGCAAGCGUUGUCCGGAUUUAUUGGGCGUAAAGCGCUCGCAGGUGGCCCGAUGCGUCGUGCGUGAAAGCCCCCGGCUCAACUGGGGAGUGUCGUGCGAUACGGUCGGGCUGGAGGCCAGUAGGGGGAUGCGGAAUUCCGGGUGUAGUGGUGGAAUGCGUAGAGAUCCGGAAGAACACCGGUGGCGAAGGCGGCCUGCUGGGCAGUUUGGCUGACACUGAGGCGCGACAGCGUGGGGAGCAAACAGG